AACUUACAGCAAUGUAUCUCUUGGCUCUCGCAUCGAUUAAGAACGCAGCGAAAUGCGAUAAGUAAUGUGAAUUGCAGAAUUCAGUGAAUCAUCGAAUCUUUGAACGCAUCUUGCGCUUCUUGGUAUUCCAAGGAGCAUGCCUGUUUGAGUGUCAUUAAAGUUCUCAAAACCCACAUGGUGGAAUUUUGGAUAUGGGGGUUGCAGGCUUUUUGAAGUCGGCUCCUCUGAAAUGUAUCAGUGGUAUCUGUGUGGAACUACAGGUGUGAUAAAUGAAAUCUAUGCCUCGUCUCUCACUGUGCUGCUUCUGGCGGAGUUGGAUUGACAAAUUUGACCUCAAAUCAGGUAGGACUACCCGCUGAACUUAAGCAUAUCAAUAAGCGGAGG
rnacentral:misc_RNA from 1 species